ensembl:lncRNA
UGUACUUGCAAAUGUAUUUAUUCAUUAUGCUCAGCAAUUAACUCUUGAUGUAGGUAAUUAAGCUGUCAAUUAUCCCUCGUUUAUAAAAUAACAACAUCCUCCGAGGGAUAAUAUUUCUAUUACAGUAAUUAGUAACACAUCAGUUCUGCACCAGCACGUAAAGGAUCCUCACCUUUUUCUCCUGGCAUCGGCUGCCAAAAGAAAAGCAGUUCUGCAGCACAAUGUCACACGUUUGGGGAUACACACACAUGCACGGAGAUGGGGCCACCGACCUACACACUAACGUGGCCAUCCUGAUGUCGGCAUGGCCGAAGGGCUGGUUUCAGUCCUGCUGUCACCUUGAAUGGUUUAUAUUGAUUUUGGGAGUGCAGCACUCCCAUUAUGCACACAUGCAGAUAUUUGUUAGAUAGGCUUAUUCUCUCCAUGACAGUGCCAAGCUCAAACAAAAUUGCUGCCGCGGCUUUAUGCCCACGCGCAGCUCACACACUAACUCACCCCUGUGCUGACUCACAGCAUCGUAAAUAAGAGAGGAGGACCAGCGGGUGGGUGCAGCGGGAGCUGCGGGCAGUGUGAGUUCAGCCUCCUUUCUUGGGCUGAUUGAUGGCAAGGAGAGGGAAGUGUGCUGGAAAGCAGGAUUGAUGGCUGCAGAGAAGCACAGAGCUGUGGGCAGGAGGAUUUCAGUGCCCAGGGGAAGGCUGUGUCACCCAGGGCAGGCCCGGGGCAGGGGCUGUGUGCCGCACAUGGGGCCACGCUGGCACGCCGGGGGCAGUUCCCCCCCACACUCCCGCCCGCCUCCUCCCAGCCCAGCAGUGUGGAUCCAGCUGCUCACAGCUGGCUGCAAACCGCACUGCGUGCUGGAAGUCCUCCUGGGACAUGGCCCUCUGGGACAGCUUCACAGCUCAGAGACACAAUGAACAGUCUCCAGGAAGGGGUGCUUGACAUGCAGCCACCUCCCCAGCAGAUCUGCCCCACAGGCACCGUGACAGCAGCCUCAGGCAGCAGCACAGUGGGAUCCCUAUAAAUAAAUACAUCGGCUUUUGCUGCCAACACCUUCCACCCACACGGGGAGGACAACAACCAAGAGAUGCUCCUCCAUGCGUUUAUUUCUGGUUCUCGGAGGGACACGAGUUAACACAGACGUGCUGCCAGCUGGGGCUGCUAUGUCUUGCAAAAGGCACUGCCUUGUGCCGGAGCAGGGCUGCCCUGGCACGGCCAGCAGGCUGCAAAGUCACGCUCCAGUGAAUUCAGGUCAUGUCCCAAGGAAAGAGCAUCAUGGAGUGAAGGAUAUAAGGCGGCUCACAGAGUCUGGCUGGCAUUGGCAGUGAUAGAGAUUCAAGCCCUGCAAAUAGGCUGGGGACAAGGGGAAAAGCUGGGGAUGCACCAUCUGGUGCCCAUUAACACGUGCGGCUGCUCCAGCACAACCAGCACUGCGGAUAUCGUGAUGGUUAUCGGGGCAGGAAGGGAAUUCCCAUCCACAUGGGUGGCAUUUCACAGCUGCCAAAAUGCCACCCCCAGCUCCCAGGGCAGCAUUUCCCCAGUUCAGCAGGAUAGGAGCCUGCCAAGAGGAGUCAGCUUGGAAAGAGAUCCAGGUACCCUGGCUCUUGUCCCAGAGCCCUCCCCAGGGCAGAGCCAUGCAGCAGCCUGUGCUGGGAUGGGGAGAUGGGAAUUGUUUGCUCCCUGCCUGCAGGGACAGGGGAAUUUCUCAGGAAGAAAGCUGGGGAAUGGGUCCUGGUGUCCAGGAGGGCAGGAUCUGCUGUGAAUCGGGACUGCCGUCUGCCCAGGGAGCUGCUCCUGCAGCAAUGCUUCUGAUGAAAGUGGCUCUGUCCUUUUCACCUUGAGGACCUGCAGCAACACCCCUGAAAGCUUUGCUUUGUCUGGGAGGCUCCAUCAUGAAGUCAGCUGAAAAGUGAUAUUGUCCCAGAGAUCUGGAGGUGAAAAAAUCCCUGAAACAUUCCCCAAAGCUACCAGAGAGCUCUUCUCCCCAUGGACUACUGCUGUGAAGUCCCACGCUCUGCUCCUGGGCUGGGACCACGGCAUGUGUGCAGGGCUGCCCAGAGGAGAAAUGUGCACCAGUGGCAGCUGUCCCCGAGCCGCAGCACUUGUUUUCCAGCCUUCGGGGUGGUGACAACUUCCAGUUGUGACCAGGCUAGAAUUUCAGCCUGUGACCCGAAGGUGAAAGGCUUGGUAUUCCUGGGAUACAACUUGUGUCAGGGCUCUUCCUGCAAUACCCCAGCUCUUACAAGCAAUUCGCUUUCUACACUUCUUGCGAGCUUUGGAUAUUAGAGCUUUGGAUCUUCAGACACACACUUUGUUCUGGUCUGAGUUACACCUCCCAGGCCUAAAGGACAGGAGCAGCCAGCUCUGCCACCUUCGAGCCUCCCAUGUGCCACACCAGCAGCAUCACCCCGCUUUAUUUCACCUCCCUGCCCCUGGGCCCAGGACCAGCCUAAAUUUUCUUGCCAAUGCAUUUUCCCUCUGAGAUGUUCUGUGAGUCAGUAGUGUCCCAAUGAGCUGUCCAAAGGUUCUUCCCAAAGCUGCUUUGGACAAUUCCCAUUUUGUAACCCAAGAUUACUGCCUGAGCAAAGAGUAUCAGUGCCAGAAGAUCAGAGAACAGGGAACACCCUGUUGCACAAGCAGCCCCUUAUCUGGGGAUAUCUUCCCCCCCUUGAUAGCCUUCAUGCAGAGCUGGAGGAGCCCAGAGGAGCUGUUCCAGAUCCCCCAGCAGUUUCAAGCCUCUUCGCCACCUCCUUCCAGCUGGAGCCUGGCCUUGUCCACUUCAUUCCCAGAAACAUCCUCCCAUGUAAAUCCUCCCCUUCCUCUCCUGAUCCCUGGGGAAUUCACACGCAGGCACGCUUCCGCUGCGGGAUCACAGCCCUCACACGUGCACGACGUUUUGCAGCAGGCAGGCAGAGACAGGGAUGCACAGCAGGAACACCCGACAGGAUGCCCUAUAGGAUGCGACCCUUUCCAAGGCCCCAGCUGGGCUUCCAACAAGCUAAAGCCUCCCCUGGGCCUGCAGCAGGCAGGGACAUAGCCCCGCAGCCCCCACUGUCAGGCUGGGAGCUGUUGCCGGUGGCCAGGGUGCUCCCCAGCUGCCUGACCGGACAAGAUUUGGCCUCCCGUAAUUACAGCCUGUGAUCCCCGCCUGCCCUGUUCCAUCCCCAUGAGAAACCGACCUGCUGCCAGCAAUUAGAGGUGGUUAGCAGCUCCUGGGCUGCCAUAAACAUGGAGGUAAUUGCAGCCUGUUUUCACUCCCAGCCCAGGAGGGACCAGGCUGCCCGGCUUCACAUUUCCUUUGCAAAUCCCCAUAGGAGGGAGAGCACCAGCUCGGGAAUUGCCAUGACCUUCCCAUUGUUUUAUUUCCUCGCCAAGUACUACAAAAGAUUAUCCCAUCAGAGAACACCUUAGGCACUUCAAAAACGUACCGCGGCUUUCCCACUAAGCAGUCGUCUCAUACAGAGAGAUGACCAAAAGGUGGUUCCCAACCACGGUCCCCACCUUUUCCUCACUUGAGUUUGCCCGCAGCUCUGGCUAAUGGAAGCUUACAUCAAACAUUGCUCACCUGAAGUUAAAUCGUACCCACUGAAGGCUGCUCUUUGUUUUUCAAUCAAAAGACUUGUGACUCGACCGAAAGAAAGCCUGGAUUUGUGCUUCUCUGUCGUUUUAAACAUGACACUCUCUUUUAUUUAUUUUCCUUUUCUAAAGCUCCGGUGGCCGUGCAGGCAGGCCUCUGCGGGGACGAGGGCUUUGCGCCGCUGAGAUCUGCAAACAUGUCUCUUCUUUCCCGAACUUUAUUUUUCUCACGGUGUCUGAAAAGGCGAGAUCAGGUGAUACGUGUGGGAUUGGCCCCGUACAGGUGCGGAUCAGGUACUGGAGGAGGUGGAAAAACAUCGCUGUGUAUACUC